rnacentral:misc_RNA from 1 species
ACAAACUUGGUCAUUUAGAGGAAGUAAAAGUCGUAACAAGGUUUCCGUAGGUGAACCUGCGGAAGGAUCAUUAUCGAGUUAGGGUUCUUUAUGAGCCCAACCUCCUAACCUCUGUUUAACUACCUUGUUGCUUCGGUGGGCCGGCUCUCUCCUUUGGAGAGCCGCCGGAGGCGUCUAGUUCCCUCUGGAUAGUGCCCGCCAGUGGCCGAUUUAAAUUCAUUUGAACAAUGUUGUCUGAAUAUUGAAUGAAAUAUUAAAAACUUUCAACAACGGAUCUCUUGGUUCUGGCAUCGAUGAAGAACGCAGC